UGAGGAAUUUUCGUCAAUGGGGGAAACCCUGAACGAGCAACGCCGCGUGCAGGAAGAAGGUUUUCGGAUCGUAAACUGCUUUUCCUGGGGAAGAGAACGGACGGUACCCAGGGAAUAAGCACCGGCUAACUACGUGCCAGCAGCCGCGGUAAUACGUAGGGGGCAAGCGUUGUCCGGAUUUAUUGGGCGUAAAGCGCACGCAGGCGGUCUUUUAAGUUUCGAGUGACAGGUGGUGGCUUAACUGCCACAGGCCUUGGAAAACUGGAAGACUUGAGGGUUCGAGAGGGACGCGGAAUUCCAGGUGGAGCGGUGAAAUGCGUAGAGAUCUGGAAGAACACCGAAGGUGAAGGCAGCGUCCUGGCGAACAUCUGACGCUCAUGUGCGAAAGCUAGGGGAGCGAAC
rnacentral:rRNA from 1 species